GCCCCCGAUUAGCUUGUUGGUAGGGUAACGGCCUACCAAGGCUCCGAUCGGUAGGUGGCCUGAGAGGGUGGUCACUCACACUGGGACUGAGAUACGGCCCAGACUCCUACGGGGGGCAGCAGUCUAGAAGCUUCCACAAUGGACGAAAGUCUGAUGGAGCGACGCCGCGUGUGGGAUGACAGCCGUGAGGUUGUAAACCACUGUCAGCAGGGAAGAAUGCCUUGAUGGUGAAUCAGGGAGAGACGGUACCUGCAGAGGAAGCCCCGGCUAACUCCGUGCCAGCAGCCGCGGUAAUACGGAGGGGGCAAACGUUGUUCGGAUUUACUGGGCGUAAAGGGUGUCUAGGCGGUUCGAUUAGUCUGGUGUGAAAUAUCCUCGCUCAACGAGGAAGACGCAUUGGAAACUGUCGAGCUCGAGAGUGGAAGAGGCAGGUGGAAUUCCUGGUGUAGCGGUGGAAUGCGUAGAUAUCAGGAAGAACACUCGUGGCGAAGGCGGCCUGCUGGUCCAUUUCUGACGCUGAAGCACGAAAGCCAGGGGAGCGAACGGGAUUAGAUACCCCGGUAGUCCUGGCCGUAAACGUUGAACACUGGAUGUCGGGGGUAUCGACCCCCUCGGUGUCGGAGCUAACGCGUUAAGUGUUCCGCCUGGGGAGUACGACCGCAAGGUUGAAACUCAAAGGAAUUGACGGGGGCCCGCACAAGCGGUGGAGGAUGUGGUUUAAUUCGACGCAACGCGAAGAACCUUACCUGGGCUUAAACCGCAGGGUAAACCCUCUGAAAGGAGGGCUGCUUCGGCAAUCCUGUAGAGGUGCUGCAUGGCUGUCGUCAGCUCGUGUCGUGAGAUGUUGGGUUAAGUCCCGCAACGAGCGCAACCCUUGCUCUUAGUUACCAGCGCGUAAUGGCGGGGACUCUAAGAGGACUGCCCUCGCAAGGGGGAGGAAGGUGGGGAUGACGUCAAGUCCUCAUGGCCCUUAUGUCCAGGGCUACACACGUCCUACAAUGGCCGGUACAAAGGGCUGCAAGCUCGCGAGAGUUAGCUAAUCCCAAAAAGCCGGUCCCAGUUCGGAUUGCAGUCUGCAACUCGACUGCAUGAAGGUGGAAUCGCUAGUAAU
rnacentral:rRNA from 1 species